rnacentral:rRNA from 1 species
CAGUCGUACGCUUCUUUUUCCACCGGAGCUUGCUCCACCGGAAAAAGAGGAGUGGCGAACGGGUGAGUAACACGUGGGUAACCUGCCCAUCAGAAGGGGAUAACACUUGGAAACAGGUGCUAAUACCGUAUAACAAUCGAAACCGCAUGGUUUUGAUUUGAAAGGCGCUUUCGGGUGUCGCUGAUGGAUGGACCCGCGGUGCAUUAGCUAGUUGGUGAGGUAACGGCUCACCAAGGCCACGAUGCAUAGCCGACCUGAGAGGGUGAUCGGCCACAUUGGGACUGAGACACGGCCCAAACUCCUACGGGAGGCAGCAGUAGGGAAUCUUCGGCAAUGGACGAAAGUCUGACCGAGCAACGCCGCGUGAGUGAAGAAGGUUUUCGGAUCGUAAAACUCUGUUGUUAGAGAAGAACAAGGAUGAGAGUAACUGUUCAUCCCUUGACGGUAUCUAACCAGAAAGCCACGGCUAACUACGUGCCAGCAGCCGCGGUAAUACGUAGGUGGCAAGCGUUGUCCGGAUUUAUUGGGCGUAAAGCGAGCGCAGGCGGUUUCUUAAGUCUGAUGUGAAAGCCCCCGGCUCAACCGGGGAGGGUCAUUGGAAACUGGGAGACUUGAGUGCAGAAGAGGAGAGUGGAAUUCCAUGUGUAGCGGUGAAAUGCGUAGAUAUAUGGAGGAACACCAGUGGCGAAGGCGGCUCUCUGGUCUGUAACUGACGCUGAGGCUCGAAAGCGUGGGGAGCAAACAGGAUUAGAUACCCUGGUAGUCCACGCCGUAAACGAUGAGUGCUAAGUGUUGGAGGGUUUCCGCCCUUCAGUGCUGCAGCUAACGCAUUAAGCACUCCGCCUGGGGAGUACGACCGCAAGGUUGAAACUCAAAGGAAUUGACGGGGGCCCGCACAAGCGGUGGAGCAUGUGGUUUAAUUCGAAGCAACGCGAAGAACCUUACCAGGUCUUGACAUCCUUUGACCACUCUAGAGAUAGAGCUUCCCCUUCGGGGGCAAAGUGACAGGUGGGUGCAUGGUUGUCGUCAGCUCGUGUC